UUAUCUCUAAAGUAAAAUAGUGAAUUUUCUUUGGAAAAAAAGGUUGAAAAAACGUUGAAAUAGAGAAAAUCUCUCAUAAAUAUUUGCUUUUUCAAUUUUCUUUUCUGACCUAUAGAAUCCUGUGUUUUGCCCCAUAAAAUUUAAAAAAUAUUUUCAGAGAGUUACGACAUUCAUGAAGAUGGAAAAUAACCAAAUUGCUCUUAUUUAUUCUAUAGAAAAGAUAUUUUUAAUAAAUUUAUGUUAUUUUUAUGACUAUUUUCAGUAUAAAUUAUAAAAAAUGGUUGAAAUAGUGACGGAAUAUAUCCUGACAGAGGAGGCUAAAUACAUCAACUUAAAAUUUUGAAACUAUAAAAUAUAGAUAUUUGAAAGUUAGGUGAAAAAAAAAAUGUAUUUACAUAAUAAUGUUUUGCAUUUUAGCAAAAAAAAAAAGAAAAAAA
rnacentral:lncRNA from 1 species